rfam:Toxocara canis scaffold133, whole genome shotgun sequence.
GCGGCAAUAGCUCAGUAGUAGAGCCCCCGCUUCGGGUGCGGGGAGACCCGGGUUCGAUUCCCGGCUGCUUCC